UAACUCCAUCUUCCCAGGGAACAGGUUAUGCAACAGCUUAAGGGCUUAGGAUGGAGUGAAAUUACAUUCGGUUCUUGGGGAAGGGGUCCAUGCAUUUGGCAAUUGUUGUAUUGAUACGUAGAUGGAAUAUUUUAUACACCUCUAUUUUUCAUAUCUUUCAAAGCAUGCUGCAUGCAGGUUUUUCUUAUUUGUCAAUGAGAAACACAUUGGACAGUGUCUUUUGUCAUAUCAAACAUUUUACAGUUUUAAUUUAGCUUGUCUUUUUGCCACAAAUUACAUAUAAGUUUUUUUAAUAUUCAACAUCAUCAUUACAGCAUCACAUAUACACACACAUAAAUGUAGUUGUGAUUGCAUAUUUACUUGUGGCCAUGUGAAUCUGUGCAUGCUUUUUUUUUUUU
rnacentral:misc_RNA from 1 species